rnacentral:snRNA from 1 species
CAGCAUGAGGGCAAUCUGCCUGCGACAUCUGUCACCCCAUUGAUCCCCAGGGUUGAUUCCGCUGAUCUGGCUGGCUAGGCGGGUGUCCCUAUUCCUCCCUCACUGCUCCAUGUGCAUCCCUCCCGAAGCUGCAUGCUGGGUCGAAGAGGACGACCUUCCCCGAAUAGAGGAGGACCGGUCUUCGGCCAAGGGUGUACGAGUAGCUGCGCGCCCCUGCUAGAACCUCCAAACAAGCUCUCAAGGUCCUUCUUCUCCUCCUAACCCCAUCCUCCCACACAUGGACAAAUGGGAAGCAAACAAGGCAGCCUGAGAAAUGCUUCU